rnacentral:lncRNA from 1 species
UGGGCUCAAUCAAUCCUCCCUCCUCAGCCUCCAGAGUAGCUGGGACCACAGGCAUGCGCCACCGUGCCUAGUUAAUUAUAAAACUUUUUUUAGAGAUGGAGUUUUGCUGUGUUUCCUAGGCUGGUCUCAAAUUCCUGUGCUCAAGUGAUAUGCCCACCUCAGGCUCCCAAAGUGCUGGGAUGACAGGCGCGAGCCACUGCACCUGGCCAAAAUAAAGCUUGACCUGAGUUGAUAUGAGGGUGAUGAGACUGAGUAAAAAGCCCAUAGGAUUCCAGCCUGUGUUCAUGUAAGUAUUCAGAACAAGAUAAUCUCUGCUACUCUCUACACUACUUUGAUUUAGGAGUGACUGUACUUGGCUUUAACAACCUCACUUAGGAGAGAUAUUGAGAAAGCCAAAUAUGACAACAUGUGGCUAUUCAGCAUAAUGCAGAAUCUGAAAAACACAAUACGUGAAAAUUGAUUCAACAAACUGGAGGAGAUUACGUGUUUGUUCUGAGGCUAUGUAAGCUUGAGUCAUGGUUCUGCUCUUUGCCCUCCGUGCAACCUUGGAAUAUUUUUACUUUAUUUCUUUGUUCUGUUUCCUCACAUAUGAAACAAAGAUAAUAACAUUGCCUACUAUAUCAAUUAGUAUAAUUAUAGCUUCAGGUAAUGGAAAAGCCAGGUAAUUUGGCUCAGUUCACAAAGACGUCACUUGUUUACUUAAUGAGAAAUCUAGAAGUACAUGGCUUAGGGUUAGUCUGGUGGUUCCACAAUGUGAGGAUUCUAGGUUCUCUAUGAUUUUCCCGACUUUACCUCCACUGUUGAAAAUGGCAGUGGUGGCUCCAGAAAUCUCAUUUUCAUAAUUUCAAGUCCAAAAUCUGGAAGAAGUGAGACCAGGUGGGGGUGUAAGACAGAGAGAAAACCCUCCAAACAUGUCUCUCUUCUUUUCAAAGGAAGAAAAAAUGUUUCCAAGAAUCCCUCUAGCAGAUGUUCUUCUAUGCCUUCGUAGCCAAAAUGGAAUUCCAAGGCCACUUCUAGCUAAGAAGAAGCAUUUUAAUGGAGAGACUUUUUGUGAUGCGUGUACAGAGGACAUUAUUAGUGAAAUAACAGCAAACUUGCUAUUAAUGAGAUCUGCUCAAAAUCUCUAUGAGGUAGUGAAUGCCCCAUCAUGAAGAUUUUCAUGCAGAAUUGGGAUGACCUCUGUUCUUCAGACUCCAACAUACCAUCUUGAGAUAACCUCAGGCCCUGAAGUGUAUCGACAAGCAGAAUGAUCUCAGCCAAGUUGUAAAACUGUCUUUGAAAAGAAUAGCUGGAUGAAAAACAUUAGCAGCAACUGAAUCAAGAGAAAACGUGACUUCAAACUGAAAGGCACUCUCAUGGUAAAUACAUAGUAAAACCAUGUUCUGCAACUUCAUAUUUUCGUAAUGCUUUAAGCUACCCAAGGAGCCCAUGCAGAUAUGCAAAGCUACUCAUUGAGAAGCUCAGCUUAUCCCUACAUAUGCCAUCACCAGUUUUUCACUUAACGUUUUCUCCUCAACCCCUUUCUAUUUGGCUUCCAUUCUACUACUCACCAACCACCUUCAGUUUGCAAAAUCCUAUGCAGAUCUUACCUUAACUUUUCAGCAUCAUUCAGUAAGGUUAAAAACUUUUCCUUCUAGAUGGUUUUGGUGGCACCAGAGUCUUCUUGUUUUCUUCUUUCUUUUUUAGCUGCACUUUCUCAGUAGUAUUUGCUGGCUCUCCUUCCUUUACUCCAACUCUUACUGUUGUAGUUUCACUGAUCUUGGAUUGAGUUCCUCCCUUUGUUUUCCUAUUUAUACUCUCUGACUAAGGUUCAAAAUUGUCUUUAUCUGUUGUAAAAUCUGUGUUUCAAGACUAGAACUUCUCCUCUAAAUCCCAUCUAUCUGAUGACUGAUAGAUUUCAGACUGAACAUGCUUAGAAUAAAAUGCUUAGCCAUGGCUGUUCCCUGCUCCCUGGCCACAGUUGCCAUACACCUUCAUCCUUCCUCAGUUUUCUCAUGGUAAAUGUUACCAUCAUCCACUCAGUUAAUAAUACCUGAAACCAGGGAAAUGGUCCUGAAAUUAGUCCUUUUUUAAAUAUCACCUUCACAUGUAGCCAAUCAGCAAUUCCUACAAUUUAUAUUCCAGAAUAUAUGUCAAGUCCAUCUACUUUUUCCACCUCCACCGCUGUCACCUAGCUCAAGCCACCAUCAUCCUUCACCUAUUCUAUUGCAGUAGCCUCCUAGAAGGUCUCCUAGCUUCCUUUAUUAGCCCUGUACAAGCCAUUCUCUGCAUGGCAGCAGAAUAAUCUUUUAAAAACUGAAAUCAUACCAAUUACUCCUUACCCAAAAGUAUUGAAGGGUUCCUGUUGCAUGUUGAACAAAAUCUACACUCCUUAUCAUGGCCUAUGGAGUGCUUCAUGUUCCCAACCUUGGCAAUGUUUUUUAACAUGCUACCAGUUCUUUCUGUUUCUUACUAAGUCCAGCUCACAUUGACCUAACACACUAACCUCUUUCCUGUCUCAGGCCCUUUGCCCUUGCUGUUACCUCUCUUAGAACAUCCUUUGUUGCUUUGCAUAGCCCAUUCCUCCUCAUUCUUCAUUUCUCAGCUUAAAUGCCACUUCAUCAGAGACGCCUUUUUCAAAAACUUUACCUAAGUUUUUAUUUGUUUUUCUUUUUUCCUGAGCUGAUAGGAAGACAACUCUGUUAUCUUUAGGAUUUCAGAUGCUUUUAGAAUCAAACCUGGAAAGGAUACAAAAAGCAGAAGCAAAACCAACAUUUGGGAGAAGAACAGAUUAAGACAGUAGCUUAUAUUGAAACAUCACUUCUCAUUUGCUGUUUGGACAAUGGUGAUGGAACUGCUGCUUUAUUGCCCACGGAGAAGCGAAGUGAAGAGUCUAAAGUGGGUCUUGCAGUUACACUGGACAAAAGAAGUUUGAAACUGAGGCUUGGUCCUGAAGAAAACAUAGAGAAGCCUGACAGAUUAUAUAUAUUCACAGCUUUGACUUAAAGGUUGCUGGUUGACCAAUAAGUAAUACAAGAAGAAAUGGUCUUUUCUGGAAUUGUCCUUCUUUCCAGGUAUCAAUGGUGAGCAGAAGAGGAGCAGGGAAUGAUGAAAGACCACACAUUCUCCAAAAGUCACUAAGCACUGUCUGCAGAUGGAACAUUCAUAUUUUCACAUAGUAUAAGUCAUAUGAUCUUUGAUCCUCCAUGUAUUGCUAUCCAGCCAUUUACUUUAGAAUGUCAGCCUUUAUACUGAUAUCACACACAUGUUGUAAAAUGUAGUGAAGAUAAACGGGUGAAGUUAAACUUACAAUGCUUUUGCUGUUAUCCAUAAAAAUGCAAUAGGUAUUGCAUAGAAUUAGUUACAAGCACAAAACUGUGAUACCCUAUAUGCCCCUGUUACAAGAAAGUUGUCAUUUUACAUUAUGGGUAUUUAUUCGAUAUUUUCAUAGUUUAAUUACUAACAAAGCAUUAAUAAUGCCAGAUUGUGCUGACAAACAUUGCAGUCUCUGAAUAGGAGAAAGAAUAUAUUCUUUGCACCAUUAUACAAUGAUUUAGAACUUUAAUAGUGUGCUGGGGAAAAAACAUGUAUCUGUAACCUGAAAUAGUUGUUUUACCUCCCUGAGUACAAAAUAUGUCACACAUUCUCUCCUAAAUGUAUUCUCUAUUUUUACCAGUCAUUUUGUUGCUAAAAUGUAAGAUAUGGGGAUGGGAUGUGGGUGAUUGUCUCCGUCCUUUUGGGCUUCUAUAACUAAAAUACCUUAGACUGGGUAAUUUAUAAACAACAGGAAUUUAUUUCUCACAGUUCUGGGGGCUGGAAAGUCCAAGAUCAAGGCUGUGGUGGGGUUUGGCUGGCGAGGGCUCCAUCCUUCUUGCUAUAUCUUCACAUGGUGGAAGGAGCAAACAAACUCCCCCAGCCCUCUUUUACAAGGGCACUAAUAUUAUUUGUGAGGGCUCCACUCUCAUGACUUAAUCACCUCCCCAAAGACCCUACUUCUUAAUACUAACACAUUGGGGAUUAAUCUUCAACAUAUGAAUUUUGGAGGAACACAAACAUUCAGACCAUAGCAAUGUUUAUUGGGGUGAAUGCUCAUUUAACUUUUCCCAGAACAAUCCCUGUUAAGUCUGCUAACCUCCUGUAGUUAAUGAUAAAAUUUCCUUCAUUUUCCGAAGUGUUCUUGUUUGGAUUAUAAAUUAUGUAAUUACCCUAAUGACAAUUAACUAGACAUUUUUUUUCUUACUGUAUAGCACCAGUAUGGGCAAUUGCAGUGGCUUUCAAACUUGACUACAACUCAGGGAGAAAUACAUUUUUCAUCAUAACGUAGUACACACACACACACACACACACACACACACACACGCACACACACACACACAUACACUAGAUAAAGCAAAAGCUUUAGGAAAUGGUACUUGGAUAUUUUCAAAUAUAUUUUAGUCUGUUUUUUAAUUAAAAAUCUCUAGUCAUGAUACAUUAAAUUGACUUAUUGACCCACAGCUUGAAAAAACACCAAUAUUUUGGAUGUGUUUUAAGGUCAUAGAACACGCCUUCUGAUUUUUUUCCUUCCCUAGGUAAUCCUAUGCAAGUUGCCAAUCUUCUCUAAACAACACUCUUCUUCAUCUAUAAAGUAAAUAUUAAUACCUACCUGAAGGUGGCAGAGAGAGUUAACUGAGAUAAUUUGGUUAAUGAGCCUGAAAUCUAGUCAACACUUACUAAAGGUAAUUUCUUCUCCUCUCUUCCGCUUCUAAACCAACAGGACACAGCUGAAGUUCACAGGUUUGUAAAAGUGAAAAAAUAUUUUUCUUAACCCCCUGACCUCUAAAGUUUGGUCAGAGUGUUUAGCCACUGAUAAAACAUCUUUAAGCACUGUUACUUCUAUGUUCAACUAAAAGAGUCACUUUUCAGUAAUUUCCGGUCAAGCCCAUCACAAUAGCACUUGCAGCUUCUCAAAAGAAAAGAAAGAAAGAGAGAGAAAGAAAGGAAGAAAGAGAAUUGAAGGAGGAAAGAAGGAAAAAAAUCAUGAUGAAGAUUUUAAAACAUGUCUUAUUGAGGGAUGGGAUGGUGAGGAAGUUGAUUAUAGUGAUGGAUGUGACAGACAGGGCCCGUACUUCUGUUUCUGUUCUCAAACUAACAGUUUUCACACAUAACCGUUUUCACACAUAACACAUUAGUAGAAUUUCUUUUGAAUAUUUGCCUUGGAAAUAAAACAAUAAUAAUAUAGCAUUUAUUAUAUUUAUUAUAUAUAGAGUGUGUGUGUGUGUGUGUCUGUGUGUGUGUGUAUCCCACAUGUCCACAUGAGAAAUAAUGAAAGAAGAUGGAGCCCAAGUAAGAGAGUCCUGAUGCCCCAUAAUGCAGAGAGACAAAGAAGUGAUGAAAUCAAGUACUCUACCUCUGGGCCGCCAGAAUCCAGGCCUGGUUCCAGAGUCCUCUGGUUUUCACCGUGUUGGGGUGGGGCCUCCCCGGGUGCACAGCUUUUCUGCACUGGUUGGCAUCUACUGAACCUUAGGUGAUCACAGCAGUGGUAAAGACAAGCCAGCUUCCGUCUUUCCAUAGUUUGUUCCCCUGUACUUCAGGAGGGAGGGGAGCCCCUCUAUGGAAUGCAAUACACACUAGGCAUCCUAUCACUAUGUAAGAACUCAUCUUGCUCCCUCAUUUCACAUUACAUCUUUGACUGUCUUGCUCAGUUGUUUCACCUUGGCUAGUUUUUACUCUUUGGCGAGUACUCUCACAACUCUCUUGUAGGCAGGAGCCCAUUUUCUUUUUCUGAGUACUCUGGACUCCUUGCAUGGUGCUUCCUGGGCAAGGGGUGCUCAACAAAUUGUGCUGAUAAUUAAGUCAUUCACUCAAAAUAUAUUUAUUAAGCACCUAGUGACCAAGACAGAAAAAAGUUACUAUUGACCUUCAAAUCACCAAAUCUAAUGAUCAUUCCUUACUGCUCAUCUUCCUCCACCAUUGCUACCUUAGAGGCCUCCCGUGCCUGCCUCCAUUUCCCAGACUUACUGCUUGAUUCUCCCUGGCAAGCUUUCCCUUCACCAUUUUUUUUUCAGCACUUGUAAGGAACUGAAUCUGUCCCCAAUAGUACACAGUUUGAGUUAGAGCCAGGACUAGAACUCAGGCCUGCAUAUAAUCAAAGAUCAGAAAACGGCCAAAUCUUGGUGUUUCUAUUCACAGGGAGGAAACCCAGAUGGGCCUACUCACAAUACAUGCUUCCAAAUGAAAGAACGUUUUUCCCCCUAAGGACAUUGUUAGGACACUGUCUAGCUAGAAGAUAUUCAGAGAAAAUUCACUCCUUUACCUGCCCUAGGGAAAUGGGAAAAUUCAAUGUUUGAGCCAUUUACCCAAAAGAGUAAUCCAUGCUGGAAAUUUUGCUGAAAGUAUUCUUUUAAAAGGCCCUUCUGUCUUUAUUAUGACGAUAAGACUGCUGAGUCUGCCCAAGCAUAUGAGGUUGCAAAGAAUAUUUCUUUUUAUUCAGACCUUGUAUUCUCUACAUGAUGAAAGGAUUCUUGGCACAUAGUUGGCAAUUACUAUCUAGGUUUUCUGCAUAACAUAGGUUUUUUAAACUAAGCUUUUAACUCAAUAGACAUCAGGCUCCAAUGAAAAUACAUGUGGCCUAACACGAGCAGAAAUAAACACAAUUCUAAUCAACUUAACUGUUGACAAAAGCAUGUGGUUUCAUUGCUUGCGGCCAAAGUUGUAAGAGUGGACUCUGAUUUCUUGCAGGAACACCCCUCAUUUAUGUGUGCAAAUAGGGUAAUUAAGUGUCCAAUUACCAGAUUUGCAUUGGCAAAUGGGGGCUUUGUGUGGGUAAAAUUCUCCAUGGUUUGGGACCAGCUGAAACUUAGGUCUUUUCUUUUUGGAUCAAUCCCCCAACAAUAACACGGGCAUGAUGAAGUUCCCUUCUUGUCCUGAUCUGAAGCCAUGGCUGAAGACUUCCCUUAUUUUGGUAAUUCAGUGAAGCGGAGAGCCAAAGUUAGGAUCUGGGGCCUUUUCUUCCUUACUGUCUACUCUGAAAAAUAAUUAAGCAUUUCAAGUAUUUUCAGACUGACUUUUUUUUUUUCCUGCUGGCUCUGUAGAAUUGAUUACUAAGGUGAAAUACUUGUAAAUAUUCCUUUUAAAAAUUUAACCAUAUGGAAGCAUUAAGUUGAAAGACACUUCAUAAAACAACUUUAUUCUUUUCU